GAAGUUGCACGAACUCCGACGAUCGGCCCGUUGUUUACGGGCCGUCGCUCCUAUCGCGCUGUCGAACUUCGGCGCACGACUACGGUAGGUAGGUGAUACAGGGCAAGCGGCAGGCCCUGAUAAGGUAGCAAGACAAAAAAAGGGAUUUGAACUAAAUUGUGGGAAGCACACGCACACACACACACACGCACCCAACAACCCCCGAACGAGCGUAACGAUCGUAGAGUAGUCGCUGGUCGGUACAUGAAUGUGCUAACGCGAUCGCGUCUCCUCCGCCGCAAACAUCAACGAUCGCCACCGCCACACAUGAGCCAUCCGGCUAGCGUACAUAAAAUAUCAGUUCAAGUGCGACGACUUUGAACAUUCGUGAUUACAAGCUCGCCCGUGUCGGAUCGCAAGUGAUCGCUGCUAGAAGUCGGAAGAACGAUCCUAGUUUCUGUUUAAAGUUUCUUUUUUUGUGUGUGUGAAUUUUGUGUGGAAAUUGCUUAACGCCAUGGCCAAGCUGGGACUGCUGUUUAUCGUCAUCUUCUGCAUCGUUCAGAUCACCCUUGCCGCCCGUCUACGGCGCGAUGUCGUCGAGGAGGGUGUACAAACGCUGAAGAAAACAAUCUCCGACACAUUCACAAAGGAAAACGUUGAUACCUUCUUCGACAAGCUUUCGCAGUUCGGUGAGAUGUUCAAGGAAAAGGCGGGCGAGCUAGGCGACACCAUCAAAUCGAAGGUGAAUGAGGCGACAAGCUAAACGGUCGGAUCGCUAAGCUGCUUCGAGGUUACCAUCACAGCGCUAAAAAAACUCAACAAACCGAAACAAAAUAAAAUAAAAUAAAACCCUCGUUUUGCUCGUCCCAGUAUACAGAUAUGUAAAUUUCAAUGCAGAACAAAUAUAACAAGUGAUUCAACUUA